CCUACGGGUGGCAGCAGUGAGGAAUAUUGGUCAAUGGCCGGAAGGCUGAACCAGCCAAGCCGCGUGAGGGAGGAAGGCGCAGAGCGUCGCAGACCUCUUUUGCCGGGGGACAAAAGGCCGGACUCGUCCGGUCCUGAGGGUACCCGGAGAAAAAGCAUCGGCUAACUCCGUGCCAGCAGCCGCGGUAAUACGGAGGAUGCGAGCGUUGUCCGGAUUCAUUGGGGUUAAAGGGUGCGUAGGCGGUUCGAUAAGGUAGAGGUGAAAUCCCGGGGCUCAACUCCGGCACUGCCUCUGAUACUGUCGGGCUAGAGUUUAGUUGCGGUAGGCGGAAUGUAUGGUGUAGCGGUGAAAUGCAUAGAGAUCAUACAGAACACCGAUUGCGAAGGCAGCUUACCAAACUACGACUGACGUUGAGGCACGAAAGCGUGGGGAGCAAACAGGAUUAGAUACCCUGGUAGUC
rnacentral:rRNA from 1 species